rnacentral:pre_miRNA from 1 species
AGGAGAAACAACCCCAGUGGCUGCCGCAGCUCUGGACCCCUGGAUUCAGCUCCCACAGGAACUCCGGGCUCUCUGUCUGCAGGGGCCUGGAGGCUCCAGGGCCGG